rnacentral:rRNA from 1 species
AUUGAACGCUGGCGGCAGGCCUAACACAUGCAAGUCGAGCGAGCGGCGGACGGGUGAGUAAUGUAUGGGGACUGCCCGAUAGAGGGGGAUAACUACUGGAAACGGUAGCUAAUAACGCAUACUAUCGGAUAACCCAUAUGGGAUUAGCUAGUAGGGGAGGUAAUGGCUCACCUAGGCGACGAUCCUUAGCUGGUCUGCGAGGAUGAUCAGCUACACUGGGACGUAGACACGGCCCAGACUCCUACGGAGGCAGCAGUGGGGAAUAUUGCACAAUGGCCGAAAGCCUGACGGAGCCACGCCGCGUGUAUGAAGAAGGCCUUCGGGUGGUAAAGUUCUUUCAUUAGGGAGGCGUUACCUAAAGAAGAAGCCCCGGCUAACUCCGUGCCAGCAGCCGCGGUAAUUC